ACUGAAAUUACUGGGUCAUAUGGUAACUCUAAAUUUUUGAGGAACUGCAAACUGUUUUCCAAAGUAUCUGCACCAUUUUACAUUUCCACCAGUAAU
rnacentral:pre_miRNA from 1 species